rnacentral:rRNA from 1 species
AUUUGAAAUCUGGCCCCCAGGGCCCGAGUUGUAAUUUGUAGAGGAUGCUUCUGGCGAGGUGCCUUCCGAGUUCCCUGGAACGGGACGCCACAGAGGGUGAGAGCCCCGUAUGGUCGGACACCGAGCCUCUGUAAAGCUCCUUCGACGAGUCGAGUAGUUUGGGAAUGCUGCUCAAAAUGGGAGGUAUAUGUCUUCUAAAGCUAAAUACCGGCCAGAGACCGAUAGCGCACAAGUAGAGUGAUCGAAAGAUGAAAAGCACUUUGAAAAGAGGGUUAAAAAGUACGUGAAAUUGUUGAAAGGGAAGCGCCUAUGACCAGACUUGAGCCCGGUGAAUCAUCCAGCGUUCUCGCUGGUGCACUUUGCCGGGCACAGGCCAGCAUCAGUUCAGCGCGGGGGAGAAAGGCUUCGGGAAUGUGGCUCCCCCGGGAGUGUUAUAGCCCGCUGCGUAAUGCCCUGCGCUGGACUGAGGUACGCGCAUUGCAAGGAUGCUGGCGUAAUGGUCAUCAGCGACCCGUCUUGAAACACGGACCAAGGAGUCGUCUUCGUAUGCGAGUGUUCGGGUGUCAAACCCCUACGCGUAAUGAAAGUGAACGCAGGUGAGAGCUUCGGCGCAUCACCGACCGAUCCUGAUGUUCUCGGAUGGAUUUGAGUAGGAGCAUACGGGGCCGGACCCGAAAGAAGGUGAACUAUGCCUGUAUAGGGUGAAGCCAGAGGAAACUCUGGUGGAGGCUCGCAGCGGUUCUGACGUGCGAAUCGAUCGUCAA